ACGAACUCUGGCGGCGUGCUUCACACAUGCCAGUCGAACGGAAAGGCCCUGCUUUUGUGGGGUGCUCGAGUGGCGAACGGGUGAGUAACACGUGAGUAACCUGCCCUUGACUUUGGGAUAACUUCAGGAAACUGGGGCUAAUACCGGAUAGGAGCUCCUGCUGCAUGGUGGGGGUUGGAAAGUUUCGGCGGUUGGGGAUGGACUCGCGGCUUAUCAGCUUGUUGGUGGGGUAGUGGCUUACCAAGGCUUUGACGGGUAGCCGGCCUGAGAGGGUGACCGGCCACAUUGGGACUGAGAUACGGCCCAGACUCCUACGGGAGGCAGCAGUGGGGAAUAUUGCACAAUGGGCGGAAGCCUGAUGCAGCAACGCCGCGUGCGGGAUGACGGCCUUCGGGUUGUAAACCGCUUUCGCCUGUGACGAAGCGUGAGUGACGGUAAUGGGUAAAGAAGCACCGGCUAACUACGUG
rnacentral:rRNA from 1 species